UACAGCAAUACAUUCAAAGAAUGCAACCCACAAAAGGCAUACACCACUAGCUGCAUAGUAGUCAAAGAGUUGAAAAACAUACAUGCCACCCUGUAAAAGAGAGAGGCAGUGGAUUAGGAUCCAACAGGGAAUAAGAAUGAAUACUCCAGGCCCAGCUCCCAGGACCAUCAACCAACGUAUCUGAAUGACUGCUGUCUAACAAGAAGAAAUAUCUAGCAAGUAGGAACUUCAAGCAUCUGAAGUUUCACACAGGAAAUGAUACUGAAACCACUGAUGUGAGCAGAGCAAAACACAGCGUGUGAGCGUGUGGUGUCUGCAAAGGAUGUGCUGAAAGAAGAAGUGGCAAAGCUGAUGACCAAGCUCAGAGAGAGCACAACUCUGCAGAGCAGAAGCUACAAAGUGACCCACCACCCCCAGCCAGCCUUGGGCCAGAACAGCACGUGCUCCAUAUACUAUCCCAAAUAUGCUUGAGAUGAGGAAAUAACUUAAGUUCU